GGCUCGGUGGUGGAUGGUUCACACCUGUGUUCCAUGGAGGUGCUCUAAAAAAUAUCAGCAGGGAAGCCUGUUCGAAUCAGGCCCGAGCCA